rnacentral:rRNA from 1 species
UACGUAGGGGGCAAGCGUUGUCCGGAAUCAUUGGGCGUAAAGCGCGUGUAGGCGGCUCGAUAAGUCCGUUCUGAAAGUCCAGGGCUCAACCCUGGGAUGCGGAUGGAUACUGUCGAGCUCGAGUCCGGAAGAGGCGAGUGGAAUUCCUGGUGUAGCGGUGAAAUGCGCAGAUAUCAGGAGGAACACCAAUGGCGAAGGCAGCUCGCUGGGACGUGAACUGACGCUGAGACGCGAAAGCGUGGGGAGCAAACAGG